CCCCCCCCAAAUAAUCUCUUGGCAGAUAGCAGGAACUUUUCCCCUGCCUUUGUGUUUGGAUAAGGGUGGGAGCGUGCUUAGUAUUGUCUGUUACCUUAUGGUUUUUCACUUAUUCGUAACUUGCUUCCUCCCCACCCUGCUGUUGUCAGGAUAUGUUGGGGAGUCACUCUUUAGGAAGAUUACAUGUGGUCUUCUGUUGGAGUAAGAUGAAAAACAAGUGUAUUAGCACUUCACCCUUAAUGAUUUCUCCUGGAAAACAUCGAGCAUCGUUCAUACCUUCCCUUGACUACACUACCACAUGCACUACCUUCUCUGCUUGAUCUCUGAAAAUGUUUGAUUCCUGUGAGAUUUGUCAUAGAAAAAUAUAGCCAUUUUUGGUUCUAAGGUUGUCAUAAUAAAUCCAAACUCUGCCAGUAAGAGUCUGAGGAGCUUUUUGCUUUUUGCUGCUAGGUACAUUUCUCAGAAGUAGCCAGCACUAUGACUCUCCCAAGACUCUUAUGUUGUCUCCUUUUUUCAGCUUCUGUGACCUCUUCUAAUGUUCACCCACUCUCCCUAACGGUACGAAAUGCUGCCAGUAGUUGCAGUAACGACUCUUAGAAGGUGGCCUUUCUCUUUUUCCUUUCUUACCUCUCAUUUUCAAUAGUCAAGAAAGGUUAAUUUUCUCAGAAACUUCAAUUUUUACAAAAACGUUAUUCCUAUUUUAUCUCUGUAGAGAUCUGCUUGCGUGGCAAAAAAAUAAUUUUCAUUUUAGAAUUGUUCCAUUUUGAUUUUUCUCAGCUGGAGCUAGUGCAUGCACAUUUAAUGUCAGGGAAGCAGGUGGGGGGGGAGGGGGUAAAUGUAGUUUUCUCUCAGAUUAUACUAUGUUUCUCUAGCUGAAUCGAUCCAUUCAUUAUCUCAUUCACUAGGGGCAAGCAAUUGUGCCCUAUGGUAACGGCCUGAAAGAGUAGACUGUUCUAAGCAUUCUUAGGAUCAUAAUCCUCCUGAUCCUAUACAGUUUAUGGUAAUCAUCCCCAAAAGUUUAUGAAGGGUAAAAUAGACUAAAAUCUACACAUUCAUGAGCUAUGGCCACAGUACCCCCUCCCACUAGGAGGAUUGGUGGCCACAGGGACACACUGACUCCUUCAAGAACCCCAAAAUACAUGUAAAGAGAUUGGCACAUUCAGAUCUUGUACAGUUUAAUCCAUUACAGUUUACCAGUCCAGAGUUCAAAAGAUGACCACAGUUCUCAAGCUUUCAGGCUAACCUGAAUAUGCGAUAAGUGAUAGAAAUUAACCCCAUUAACCCAUGCCAAUUAGCUACAUGCUAGCAUGGUUCCACCUCCCAUUGGUUGGUGCCACAGUGACUGAAAAGUAGGGUUUUAGAUGUAUGCUGUAAAAAUCCAGGAAUUUCAGUGCUGGACAAAAGUAAUUCCUUAAUGGGGUAUUGACCUUAGGUGGGGAAACAAGUGGCCAGGAUGGCAGGACUAUAUAUAGAAUUGAGGCAAGAUAGUGUGAGGACUGGAGAAAGAAAAGGCAAACGGGACUGGAAGAGGAGACUUAGUGCAUGGUUGUGAGAGUCUGACAGCUUAGAUGUUCCAGAAAAGUUAGCCCAGAGUUAUGUUUCUGCGAAAGGGGAAGUAGAGUAACAUAGGUCUGAUCACAACAUUCCUUCACUUGAGCCCUUUGACGACUCCCAUUUAUCAGUGCAGGCUCCCCGUGACCUAGCCCAUCCUAAGUCUCCUGCCUGAUCCACUGCCUAUCCCUGGCAAUCAAAUUUCUGUGACAGCAAACUGCAUCCCAUUGGCCUAUGAGUGCAUGCGUUUUAGUAUAAUGGUUACCUGUCGUACUCGUCUGCCCAACAUCUUAUUUCUUCUCUUUUUGGGUCCUCUCAAUCUUCUCAUGAAGUACCACCCCAGCCCUGCCCACUCUAUAUGGUUCUAAUAGAGCUACAAAUCCUACAAAAGUCUUCUUGCAACCUUAACCAUGUCUGGUUAAAAUUAUAUUCUGCUUUGUAUGAGUCCCUAUUAACACAGCUCUAUCCUAGCACUGUCUGUACUAUGGCCAGGCAAUGGGUACAGUGAUUAGCUUGGAGAUAGGCCCAUGACUGAAACUAGACUGAGCAGAGGCUUUUCCAUGGGAUCUUAUUUGCUGGCCUUGAAAUGCAGGUAACCUUCUAUGGCUAUUAACUACAAUCCAGUGUGAUAUUAGCAUGGAACUCUGUGGCCAAACUCCACCCCUUCCUCCUGCAACAUAGAUUAUGUCUGUCUGCUAUGGGAGAGAAGGCAGCAUCCACACAUGAGCAGGGCCAAGAGUUCUGGGAGAGCUGAAGCCAGAUUUCCCAGUUACACUUUCCUUGUAUUUGUGUAAACUAUUUUGAGAUGCGUUUCUGUCCCUUGGAAACAGAAGAGUUCAAGUUAAUGAUCACUUGACCAAAAAUAACCUCCACAUCCCUAAUGAAAAUUCUCUCUUUGGGGACAACAUCCUGUGAAGCCUUUCCUCAAUCCCCUGGUUGAAAUUAAUUACUGCUUGUGAGCCCCAUGCUGUAGCCUUUUCAGAUUGCUAUUGCAAAAAUAGCAUAACCUGGAUGCCUUAUAAACAUGUCUCACAGUUCUGGAGGCUAAGAAGUCCAAGACCAUGGCACCAGCAAUUCGGUGUCUGCUUCCUCAUUCACAUGAAGAGGAAGGGGUAAGGACUCUCUGGGAUCUCUUUUAUAAAGGCACUAAUCCCAUUUGAGAGGUCUCCACCCUGCCACCUAACCUCUUCCCAAAGGCCCCACCUCUAAACCUAUCACAUUGGGGAUUAGGUCUCAGCAUAUGAAUUGGGGAGAGACACAUGUUCAGUCCAUAGCACCCCCCUAUUAGCAAUGUAUACCUCAAUAGUUGCACUGGUUUCAUUCUUCCUUGACUUGGAGUUUGUUUAUGUAUCUAUUUUCCUCAUUUGUAAGAUCUUUAAAAGUAGAGAGCAUACCUAAAUCAUCAUUGGACCCUCCAUAGGGCAACACAUAAUAGGCUCUUAAAUUUUUUGAAUGAUAUCUAGACUACUAUGUACCAAGCUCAAUUCUAAGAACUGGGAAUAACAGUGAAUUUUAAGAUGUGAACAUUCAUGCUUUCAUGGAAUUUGCAUCCUAGUGGGAAAACUAUCUGACGAAAAUUCAUGGGAAUUGCUGAAUUGGGAAAAACCUUGAGGAAAGGUAAACGCGACCUGGAACCAAGAGGCUCAGACAAAAGGGACCUUGCUUUUUACCACCACCAAAGAAGGCAAAAUGAGCUCUUAGGGCGUGGCAAAGGAGUGGGAAGUAUGUCAGGAUAGAGUUCAAAAUAGAACUUGAGCAUACUUUUUAAAGCUAGUCCAAUUAACCGGCACCAAAUGAAAAUGGCCAGCUAGAUGCAAUUACAGGCACUCCCCAACUUGUGCCCAUGGUAACUCACUGGCAGUUUCCUACGGAGACCAAAAAUUAUUUACUUCUUGCCAUAUACUCUUCCCUAAACAUAACAAUGCAUGUUCACAUCUCUCUAUACUUGCCAUCCUUUCACCCUGGAAUGUGUUUUUUUUCCCAUUUAUGGGACCGUUACCUAUUUUGAAGUCAGUAAUCACUGAAUUCAUGAUUGAGAAAAAACAAAAAUCAAAAAGCAGUGCUUUCCCAGUUCCUUCCAGCUGCAGAAUGUUUCUCUCUAUACUAGACAGUAAUUUAUGAUUUACCCUCUCUGCAACUGAAACAUAAUGGAAGGGAAAACAAAGAGAAAAAGAUGGCAUUUGUGAGAAAUGGUAAUCGGGCAAUUAAUUUGUGUGAGAGACUAGAACAUUUUGCUUUAGUGUUUUGUUUAUAAAGAGGGGAGUGUACUCCCAAGUUUCAAAUAAAUAUUAACUUCGGGACUACAACUUUUGGGGGGGGAAGGGCUAAGGUUUGUACCCAUAUAUAAGUAUGCCCCAAGGUCAGUCCUUACACAAAACUUUGAUGGUUGGAGCACAUGCACUAAAGAUGACUUAUGUGGGGAAAGGACAGUGGAGGGGAAGGACAGGUCUGGGAGAGAAGCUGGUCCCACAGGUAGUGACAGUGGAAAGUUACUCAGGCAAUGGGAACAACCGGGGUGUCUUGUCUGGGGGCUGUUGGAGCCAAGUUGGAAAACAAUUGUUUCUGACACAUCAAAGCCUGGGAAUUUUUCUCAACUGGAUCUAUGGUGGUAAAUAUUUGCUACCACCACCUGUUUUCAAAGUUUUCUCUGCUCAUUUUUCCCCCUCAACUGUAAAAAAGAUUUGAUAUGUCUACAUACAUAGGUAUGAAAGCUUACAGCUUGCCAAAUUUAUUAAAUCCUCACUUGAGUGGCUUGUAUAUAAAACCACUGUUAACCUGUACCUAACACUGUCCUAGAAAUAUUAGAUGUAUUCCUCCUUCCCCUCACAAUACCUCUACGAGGUAAACACUGUUGUCAGGCCUUAUUUUCCAACAAGGAAACCAAGGCACAAAGGUUUAGGUAGCCAGUGCCUGGUCACACACAAGAUGAUGGUGGAGCCAUGUUGUAGGGAUCCUUAAGCCUGUGCCCUGCUGCCUCUCCCAGCCUAAUGUGUGGGAAAGUGUUCCAGAUGGGCCUCAGGACCACACUCCACAUACAUAUCCGUAGGAAGAGGCUGGGAAUUGUGACUCAGAAUUCUAGCUUACUCCCCUGCCUGUGGUCUCGAUGGCUGGUAAAAAAAAUAACCACAGUGCUUGCAAGUAGAAUAGAAAUGCGCACAUUUCACAAGAAAAAUAGACCAAGGUGAUCACAUCCUACUUUGCCUCCUUCAGGGCUGUGAGCAGAAAAAGCUGAUGUCUUGACGAAUGGGUUGCUCAAUGCUGUGAAGAAUCAAUAAUUGUUAUAAGCAUCAGGAAGACAUGACUGAAAAGAACAAUAAGAAAUGUAAUCUCAAGAGACGAAAUAUGAUUGAAGAAGAAAUCAGUUUUCCUGUCUCAUUGGACAUGAUUGUGUUUAAAGGGGAAUCUUCAUGAUCACAGCAGGAAACUUCCAAAUGGACCGCUCAACCCUAAGACCUAUCUUCGCCUCCUGACUGAAGUUCCAAAGUAAAGAAAGGAUUCUUCAAGCAUUCAGACCAACAAGAUCAAAUUAUCUGCAGGGGACGUACUGACCUCAGAACCCAGUGGCAAAAGACAGAAGCAAUGACUAGCAUGUAACCCAAGAAUAUCUUAACAAAAUAAGUUGCCAUUCUAGUAGAUAGGCUUUCCAAAACAUGAAAAGGAGAGGAAACCCAGCACCCAUGAGCCUCUCUCAAAAAACUACUUAACAAUAAUAGGCUGGCAGUUAAGACAAGAAUUAAAAUAAGAAAAAAAGGAACAGAGAAGCCACAUAAAAGGCUCUAGGUGAACACCAAAUCCACUUACAUAUAGGCCAGUACAAACUAUUGGACAGUCACUUAUGAGAAUGUUGAGGUCACAAACAUGUCAGUAUAAAAAUAAUGUAAAAGUUAGAAGGGAUGUUUAGAUGGGAGUCUCGUGAAAACAUUAUCUUCAUCUUUUAUAGAAAAGGUCAAUCAAUGCUAAAAAAAAAAAAAAAAAAGAAAAA